CUUGUGCAUUGCUAAUAAGCUGCAGCAUGAGUUUCUGCAUGGGUGCUUUUUGUUUGAAUUUAGUAUUUUGGUUUUUGGCAAAGCUUAAAAAGGGACUGCUUUGAACUUUCUCCAUGCUUGUCCUUCCUUAUUGCUGUUUCUUGUAGGUGAUCUGGAGGACUUGGAGGAUUUCCUUUCGGCCAAAUCAAGAAAAGGUUUUUCCAACAGAAGGAAGGUACAGGAUGUCUUUAGUAACAGGAUGUUGGAAUACAUUCUAAACCUGUGCCAGGGACAUUAUGAUUUCCUGGUUCGAAUGCCUGACAAUCUGCUUAUAUAUAUCCUGUCAUUUCUUAACACUGAUGCCAUUGGACAACUGUCAAAAACUUGCAAAAAAUUUCAGCAGUUAUGCAGCAGCAAAGCAUUUUGGGAGAGAGUUGGAAUGCUUCAAAAUAAACACAGUCUUGAUGAGAGGAUGAUGGCGUUCCCAGUCUACAAGAAGCUAAUGAACUUAAAUCAAAAGCACCAUCAGAUGCAGAGAAGACGGACUACACUUUUUUAAUGUUGUUUGAGUAUUAUUGGAAUAUACCCAACAGGCCAAUCAUGCAUUUUCCUAUUAUAUCACUACUACUAAAAGAAGAUUAAGAAGUUAAAAUAAAUAUCAAUUUCUCUAGAGGAUUAAGAUCUCAUCAGUCCGUUCCCUCAUUAGUUACAAUUGGAAUGGCAACAUUAGUUUGCAAAUCACGUUUCCAUCUGAAUUGUUUGAAAUUAUUUAAUUACAAGUAAUCCAUCAUUUUACUGGGAUGGAAACAACAGCAAUAUUUAUACUUUUUUCUUUUGUUAAGGAUUUUUUGUGGACGUUAUAGCUUCUCAUACAUAUCAGAGGAAUACCAAUGCAGCUGGGUGUGUCAGCUGGGCAGCUGUUACACACAGAUCAAUGGUAAAUUCUGGUUGCUACCAUGCCACCAACGUGAUUGUGCAACUGUGGCAGCAGCAUUUUUUUUUAGCCACCCUCCUCCUCCCAUCCAAGGCAGCACCUGAGACAGCUGCCCAGGUUGCCCUGCUCUUGUUAUGCUGCUGAUACAGGCCCUACAAUGUUGAACCUUAAAGUAAACAGUAAAGUAUACAAAGUUGUACACAAAAGGAGGAGGAAGAGGGUCACCCUGACCAGGCUUAGAGAAUAACGCAUAGGCCCAGCAAAAGACUAGUUGAAAAAUAAAGAAACAAGGGAAAAGGAACAGUUUGCUCUUUUAAAUUCUUAGUUUAAUUUUUAAAGGGGCCAAUGUGAGAUAAUUGAGCUUUAUUGAGCUUUUAAAGUCAUAAACGUAACAUCUUUCAAAAUGUUAUUCCUUUAAAUCUGCUUCAAGUCAUGAAUAUUACUGAUUAUUUAGCUUCUAUCUCACUCCACCUUACAAAAAUAGCUCAUUGGACAUACGCACACUUAUUAUAGUACAUGCGGUGCAGUAGGAAUUAUAAACAAAAGACUUGAGCCCUAAAUAAUGGCUUAAGAAGUGAUACAAAGGAGCUUGAGGGCGGGGGAGGCAGCAGGUUGGCCAUUACAUUUGAAAAAGUUAAAUGCCAAAUACUACUUCUCAUAGCCAUCAUAAAGCAGGAAAAUAUAUUGAAGUGAAUACAGUUGUGGUGUAAAUGCAGGCAGUUCCAAUGUUCU